CUCUCUAUCACCCGUUUUGCCCUCUCUCAAUUGUAAAUCUCUCAGUCGUGUGAAUUUUCGUAUUUCCCCCCCUUGAAGUGCAGCUAGCUUUUCCGGCCUUAAGCCAUAAACCAUUAAAAUGACUGUGAUAGAGAGUUUAUUUUUAUACCUGAGGUUUGAUGAGGACCGGGCAUAGGUUCUUCCUGAGGAUAGAAAUAGUAGUAAUAGCCUGCAGGAUAUUCAGCCGCUGAAGGAUGAAUGCUAUCAACUCUGAUGCUCAGAUUGGUUACCAAUUAUGUCCCUCCAAAGAGCUAGGCCCAUUUGCUGAAGGGACAGAUAACGUUAUCCAACGGACAAAAAACUACCCAGUGGAUGAGUGUUAUCAAAACCUUCUGCGCUAUUCACUAUGGAUAGAGACUAAUCCUGUGGAUAUAGUGUUAUUCAAACUUCGAACAACCGAUGCCUGAACCAGAAGCGUGAUAUUCGAAAUAAGCAGAAGCCCAGUCGGUGCUAGACUCUGAAUCCAUACCUUGAAUCGCAUCAGAUUCCCUCUGGUUGAAGGAUUUAGAUUCAAAGUGCUGAGUUUCACCGGAAGUCAUUUCGGUCUGAGCCCAAUUGUCAUCGGAAGGAGAAAUCAGAAAGUUGACGUCAAGCAAAGAUAUUAAAUCUCGCCUACCGAGCCCCAGUUGGUAUCAGAUUCAGGGUUCAAGGUUAAUUCCAUGUUUUGAGUUUUAGUAAAGUAAA